GCAGUCUGCCUCCAGAGGGUGCGUGUAUGGGGUAGGUGUGAAGGACGAGGACGGAAAGCCUGGGUCCAAUGGGUGGUGGUGGAGUAUCUUCUCUUGGAAAAACAAAUCAACUGUGUUAACAUCAACAAGGAAGUCUUCUCUGGAAUGAAGCUGUAUCUGUAGACAUGUCUCCCCCUGGCAAGCAGGCCUUCGUGGUAGCAAAUGAACCUCACGUCAAACCCACCCCAAUAUCUCUGGGAUUUGGUUUGCGAGCCCUGGCACCACACUUUAUGUUUACAAAAGUCAAGAGGAAAGAGAGAUCGAAGAGGAGAGGCAUGAGGAGGAAACAGACAAGCACACACAGAGGCCAUUUUACUCCCAUGAAGAGGAGCAGAUGUUUCCAUAAUGCAAAAUCCAAAAGCUGGAGCUUUCUCUUCUGUCUGCAUUUUGAAUCUUAGGAAAGCAUCCAGUUAACAUCACAGACCUCCAACUCGCUUUCUCCCAAGGAGCCAUUUCUUCGGGAGGAGGAGUUCGUCUGCCUCCGUCCAAAGUCUACCACUCUCUCAAGGAUCAACUCUUCCAGGAAGUCUUCCCUGACUACCUUUCCCAGCUUGGAGCCUGCAAACAUUCAACUACCACUUAAUUAACGUGCCAUCAUGCCUUGCCAGUUAAGUUGGAAUACCUUAACAUCUUAUGACUGAUUUCUUUUAGAUCAAAUCUACCUGGCUUCUCGUACUACCUGGAAA